rnacentral:lncRNA from 1 species
UUUUUUUUUUUUUUUUUGCGACAGAGCCUCUCGGCUCGCUGCAGCCUCCGCUUCCCUGGUUCAAGCAAUUCUCCUGCCUCAGACUCCUGAGUAGCUGGGAUUACAGGUAUGCACCACCAUACCUGGCUAAUUUUUGCAUUGUUAGUAGAGAAUAGGCUUCACCCUGCUGGCCAGGCUGGUCUGGAGCUCCUGGCCUCAGGUGAUCCGCCUGCCUCGGCCUCCCAAAGUGCUGGGAUUACAGGCGUGACCCACCGUGCCCAACCUCCUACAAAUAACGUUUCUUAAAAAACGUUCUUGGCGUGGUGUGGUGGCUCACGCCUGUAACCCCAGCACUUUGAGAGGCCAAGGCAGGUGGAUCACCUGAGACCAGGAGCUCCAGACCAGCCUGGCCAACAGGGUUAAACCCUGUCUCUACUAAAAAAAUACAAAAAUUAGCCAGGUGUGGUAGUGCAUGCCUGUAAUCCCAGCUAAUCGGGAGGCUGAGCCAGAAGAAUUGCUUGAACUUGGGAGGCGGAGGUUGCAGUGAGCCAAGAUACAGCUACUAUACUCCUUGCCUGAAUGAUACAGCGAGACUCAACGCCCCUACCAGCCCCAAAAAAAGAAAAAAAGUUCUCAAGUCCUCACAGACCCUGAGCCAGGGCUUCCCUGCGUGAAAUGGGCUCUGCACAGGAACCUCCCAAAAGAGGAGCAACUCAGCCCAGCGGGGGACGCGGCUGCAGAAGAGCCCUGGGCAGCCACUGCUGCAAGAUGUGCCAGGAAAGGAGCUUGCGCUGUCCAGUAUGAUUCCCAGGAUUUCCUGUUAAAUGAGGAAGGCAAGGCAAGGCCAGCCAACAUGUGUAAGGCAGUUUCUUCAAAACCCACUACGCUGGCCAGGUGCGGUGGCUCACGCCUGUAAUCCCAGCACUUUGGGAGGCCGAGGUGGGCAGAUCACGAGGUCAGGAGAUCAAGACCAUCCUGGCUAACACGGUGAAACCCCGUCUCUACUAAAAAUAAAAAAAAAUAAGCCAGGCGAGGUGGCAGAUGCCUGUAGUCCCAGCUACUCGGGAGGCUGAGGCAGGAGAAUGGCGUCAACCCGGAAGGCGGAGCUUGCAGUGAGCUGAGAUCAUGCCACUACACUCCAGCCUGGGCGACAGAGCGAGACUCCGUCUCAAAAAACAAAAAAAAGUAAAAGUCAAAAUGGAUCCAUUUAAACACACGCACACCCCGCCAUCCCAGCUCUCCUCCCGGAUGCCGCGCCAGCCCAGGCCUGGCAUUCUGCACGCCACUCCCCUCAGGAGGGGCAGGAAGGGCAGUUCCGGGGCCAGGCUGGGCACACGGGUUAGGCCAGUAUCCCUACGAGAGGACCUCAGCCAUGAGCAGGGCCAAGUCAAAUGGCUGCAGAGCCAGGUUGACAGAUGCUCACGGGCACGUCUGGGACCAUCAGGGUCCCUAGAAUCAGUGCUGCUGGCCACUCCCUUCAAAACAGGGCAGGGCUGGACAGGAGACACCACUGCAGUACCCUGACCCAGCCACCACGCCUGAGCGUGCAGAGAAAGCUAGCGAGAAACAGCCAGAAGAGGCGUUCUAGCAGGUGCGGGGACCACGGGGGGUGGACAGGAGUGGCCUGCAGCCGCUGCUGCCUUCCUGCGUGCGAUCGCAGAGUGCAGGGAGGCCCGGAGUGCUGCUGAGCUGUGGGGGCGACUGGGCGGGGAAGCAUGGUGUCCCCAUGUGGUUCUAUGAUAAUUCAGAAACACCAUUGCCACACGCACACACACACAUACAGAUAUCAAAUAAACUCGCAAGGCACACAGAUGCACAGAGACACGCAGGCCUACAUGCACACACAGAAACAACAAGCAAACACAUACAUAGACAGGGAGGCACACGGGCACGCA